ACGAGGCGGCAAACCCCGCCUCUCAGCGGCGACACGCUUCGCGCAUGGGUCGUAAGCCACGCCCCCCCUCCACCGCGUGCUGCCGGCCGCCGUUACCGGCACCGCGGUCCCGCGCGGCGCUCGCUGCUGCCUCCCGAGUUGCCCUUAGCGAGGCAAAGAACGAACCAGAAGCAGAGCGCUCAUCUUACAUUGUGGGCACCAUUGUCACAAGGAAAGAAAGCAAGAAAAGGAAAAACCAAACGAGCAAGAAUGAUGACCACAAAAUCUAAUUAAGAAAUGCUGCGCCACUAACGAGUUACGGUAGGAGUCACACGUUGACAAAGACGGACACGCUAUAGUACCUGGAAAAUGGUUAUCAGCUUCCACAGUGCAUGUGUCGCAGCACUGUCCCAACUCACCGGCUGCAACAAGGCUUUUCCCCCCCAUGCCUGGUUAACUCCAGUAAGUAGCUCCUACCCCUUGCACGGCCACCAGCCCCCACGAGGUUUCAAAGGUUCACCUCCUGCCCGCGCUGUUUCUCCAUCCCCUUCAGGCCAGCCCACCCUGCUUCUCGCCUCUGCUGCGUCUGGAUUCUUCCUUCUCCCGGCUCCCCUGCCAGCCGGCCUCUCCUCAUCUGGGCUCCCUUCUUCUCCCGGUAUCUCUCCUCCAUCCAGUGCUCCUCUUCACACAGUCCUAACUACUCAGCAGGAACCAGCCACAGCUGCACAUUAUCCCCACCAGCCAGCCCACCGCUGUAUAUUAUCAACGUUAAUUAACCUGCCUUCAUUCCUCAACAUGCACCACUGAGCUGGUUCCUCCUGCUGUAGAUGAGGGGGUUCAGUGCUGGAGGCACCACCGAGUACAGAACCGACACCGCCAGGUCCAGGGAUGGGCUUCAGGUAGGCAAACGUGGCCGUGGUGACAAACGGGGAGAGCACGGCCAGGGGAGGGAGGGAGGGACGGACGUGGAAAAGGCUUUGUGGUGUCCCUGCUCAGAGGGGAUCCUCAGCACAGCCCUGAAGAUCUGCACAUAGGACAGCACGAUAAAACACCCCAAAAAGAUGAAAGCACUGAAGAUGAGAAGUUGGAAUUCCCUGAGGCAGGCGUGUGAGCAGGAGAGCUUGAGCAGCUGGGGAAGUUCAGGGAAGAACUGGUCCAUGGCAUUGCCCUUGCAGUGGUACAGAAAAUGUGUUGGCUGCGUGAAGCACGGAGUAGAGAAACCCACUGCCCCAGGCAGCUGCUGCCAUGUGGACCACGUGCUGUAGUGCGGGGCUUUGCACAUGGCAACAAAGCAGUCGUAGGCCACGAGGGUGAGAAUACAAUACUCUGCUAUGAUGAAAAAGAUCAAUAGAAAGAGCUGUGCAGCAUGUCCAGCACAGGAGAUGGCCCUGGUGUCCCACCGGGAAUUGGCCAUGGCUUUGGGGAGCGUGGUGGAGAUGGAGCCCAGGUCAAGAAGGGACAGGCUGAGGAGGAAGAAGUACCUGGGGGUGUGGAGGUGGUGGCCCAGGCUAAGGCGGUGCUGAUGGUGCUGUUGCCCGUGAGGGCAGCCACGUAGAUGCCCAGGAAGAGCCAGAAGUGCAAAAGCUGCAUCUGCAGAUGCCAGGAGGAGGAACUGGGUGAUGGAGCUGCCGUUGGACAUCUGCUGCCUCUGGGCACGGGGACCUGUCGAAGGAAGAAAAGGCAGGGAGAAGUUAAGGCAGAGUUCCCCGAGGAAAACUGACCUUGGUUCUUGUGGAGGCCCCCCAGGCAUCCUUGCCCCUUUCAGGGGGACAUCUGUAAUGUCCCUUGUACGAGCUCUGCGUGCUGCAGGCUCUGGCAGGGACACUCCUGCCCUACAGCAGCGGCGAAAGAGGAACAGGGUGAUCUCUGAUGAAACCACCUCUGGUACCAAUGAGCCUCUCAGCACUGUUGCUCCCAUUUCAGCCAACAGCCGAGCACAGCUGCCGGGAUUUUGGUAUUUGCAUUUGGUUCUAGUUUUCUCAUCACAACUGAGGAGUGGCUCGAAGGCAGAAGGAAGCCCCGGCACUCCUGUUGCAAUCCAGGUAUAUCCUUGUGGUGUGUAGGUGCUUCUGAAAAGCGAGCAGUUCCUUUUCUCACCCCAGAAAGCAGGGAGCAGAACUUUUGUGGUGUCCUUCACAUGGCUGCCAGAGCAUGUGAAUGAGUAUCGUGAGCAAAGUGAGAGCCACCAACAGAAGUCCUUCCUGGCACCUUCUCUGGUGGAGCUGUGCAUGGGUGGUGCCAUGGAGUGUUUUGAGUGAGCGGUUACUUUUCUACAGCAUGGCAAGCAGGUAGCAGAACUUUUGUGGUGUGCUUCACGUGGCUACCAGGGCAGGGUGAGACCCACCAAGAGAAGUUCUUCAUGGCACCUUCUCCUGGGGACCUGUGGCUGGAUGGUCCAUGGAGCAUUUGAGUCUGUGUGAGUGCAAAAGCGAGCACUUAAGCUUCUCACCACGGAAAGGAGGUAGCUGUGCUUUGGAGAUGUCACUCCGGUGGCCACCAGCGUAGUGUGAGGAAAACCAAAUGAAUUCCUUCCUGGCACCUUCUCCAGGGGAGCUGUGCCGGCGUGGUUCUGUGGGGCGUUUUGGCCCGGGACAGUGAGCUGAGCCGGGGGACACAACGAGAAACCAUGAGCCAGGCAGCAGGACAGAGGUACAGACAAAAAGUUAGGGGGGGAGGAUGGGGGACAGGGAGCAGAGCAGAGAUGGAGACAGAAACAUUAGAGAGAGUGAGAGGACCAAGAGAUGGAUCAAGGAGAAAAGGAAUGUGGUGGGUAGCAGGCAGCAGCAGCGAGCGGCUCUUUGGCCGGUCCCGUCAGGAGCCUGGGGAGCACCGCAGGGGUGGUGUUGGGGGGCACAAGGGCUGAGGGGCAUCGCAGAGUUAACGGGGACCUGCAGGGCACAGAGGAGCUCCAGGGAGGCAUCGGUGGGAGGAGAGGGGUGGAGAGGGCACGGGAGAGCCCCAGGAGGUGACCCGAGCAGGGGCCUGAACAGAGGCAUCCCAGAUGGCACAGAGGGGGGGAAAAAAAGCAUGUUCCUUGGGCACGAAGCUGCCUGUAGGAGGUUCUGAAGGAGCAAAAUGGGUCCAAAACGUGCUGGAGAACAUCAAGUGUCCCGAGGGGAACCUGGGUGGCCCCAUGAUAAUCGGGACAAGGAGCAGAGCAGUUCUCAGGCAGAGUGACAAAAGGCUUGGGGGUAUGGUGAGGAACUUGGGAGGGGACGUGAGCAGAGUACAGAUGUCCUCAAGGGGACCAGAGCCUGACCAGAGGACCUGAGAUGGCAUAAAGGACAAAAAAACCCAAACCAAACCCACCGUGAAAAAAAGCUCUGGGGCACAAGAAAGGCUUGAGGAGAAAUGAUGGGAACAGAAGGGUCUGGGGUGGGGUGGGAGGGACAGAGACGAAAGAGGCGUGAGGGUCCUCCCAGGCCUUGCAGGGGCACAGGGGGUACCACUGCCCCAGGCCUUGCAGGACAAAGAGGGAUCGGCAGCAUGUGAAGACACAGGGGGCUGCUCAGGAGGAUGGGAAGAGAAAGAAGGAGCAAGAGGACUGAAAAAGUGAUGGAGAGCAGCAGAGAGGGAGCGGCAAGAAGACAGAGAAGCAUCUAGACUGAGCUUCACAGAUGAACACAGGACACCUACGUGGUUAAACGGGAACUUAACGAUGGUGUAAGGCCUUGUGCCAGCACCUCUGGCUUUAGCUGGUGGUACUUCCUACUCAUCCUCAUUUAUGGCAUAACAACUGGGGAAGAAAUAUCAGAAGAAAAAUCAGAAAAGCCACUGACCCCUUCCCCCUCUCCCAAAAGCAGCGAAGAACAGACAUCCACCCCCUCCCAGAGUUGUUGCAUCCCUUAGAAUCUCAGCCUUGACAGUGGAUUGCCUCUUUCGCUUACUGCCUUUUAACAGACUCUAGAAGCAAUAAAUUAGUAGCCAUAAACUGA